UCUCGCUCAGAUUAAUUGCUGCCUGCCCGCCUGUGAUGUUUCCCCGCUGGCAAGUGCGGGAGGGGCGGGAGCGCCCAUCCGGAGCCUGAAGCGGCACAGCCGGCCGUCCGCAGCCCGCAGCCCGCAGUCCGCAGCGCACCCUCCCUUCUCCGAAAGCGAUCCAUCAGCCGGCAGCGGCCCCCACUGCGAAGCUGGCACCUCUGGGCCUCGUCAGCCCUCAGUGGAUUGGAGGACGCCCCCCACCCUGGCGCAGGUGGUCAUCCUUACUCAGUCUACCGCUACAAUGCUAAUCUCUUCUGGAGAUGCUCUCGCCGACACACCCAGAAAUGGUGGUAUACCAGUUAUCUGGGCAUCCCUGAGCACCGUGCAGUUGGUAAGAGCUAAAGUCCACAGGGAGCAGACCAUGCAUGGCUUUAGAAAACAUGCAAGGUGUGUGGCGCACACCGUGAGCUCAGCAAUGCCAUCAUUCACACGGACACUUUCUGGGUGAGAUGCGCUGGCAUCCCGCGAAACGGGCGCGUCACAGAGUGCAGUUCAGGGAACUGGUGAGCACCAGGAGUGCAGCGUCAGCCUACCUCACUUCCGUGGCACCAGAACACUGGCGGGUGAAGCCUGGGAACCUGCGCAAGCAACAGACGCCUCAGGUGAUUUUCAUGCUCAGCCAAGAUUGGAAACUACUGCA